GAGUAUUAAUAGUUAUGAUCUUUAAACUUAAAGAAUUUGGCGGUAUUAUAGUCUAUUUAGAGGAAUCUGUUAUGUAAUUGAUAAUCCACGUUGAACCUUACUUAUAUUAAUUCUUGUAUACCGCUGUUUAAGAAUAUAUUUUUAGAUAGAUUUUCAAGAUAUUGAUAAUAAUUAAUAUUUCAAGUCAAGGUGCAGUUAUAUAUAAGUUGAAUAAUGGAUUACAAUAAAUUUUAUUUAUUACGGAUUGUUGCGUGUAAUAGUAAUUUAAAGGUGGAUUUAAUUGUAAUUUUGUAAAGAUUAUUAAAAUGAUUUUUUUAGCUCUAUAAUAUGU
rnacentral:rRNA from 1 species